CGUUCGCGACUCGACAGCCGUGCUGGGGGCAUGCGCAGAGAGACCGUGGCUCCUGGUGGCGGCCCUGACGGGUCCUCGGACUUUGAUGGCAUUAGCUUUAAGUUUUCCUGCUGGUUUAGGGAAAGCGACUGGCAGUUUCCAGGAAAGGAGACAAGAGUCCGGCUCUGGAAGUGCGGGUUCGGAGACAGCGCUUCGGCCCGGGGAAUCCUCAGUCUGAAACUGGAGACUGCCCGAGCCGCGGGCGAACCGCCUCCGAGGUCUGAUCAGGCAACCCUUCAGGAGGUGGGAAACCGAGGCCCUGCCUCCGGAGCCCCCCUAAAGAUGACUCAAGACCAACCUUGGCUUGCUGUGCAAGAGGCCCUGAGGAAGUGCUUUCCCGUGGUGGAGGAGCAGCAGGGCCUGUGGCAGAGCACCCUGGGGGACUGCCAGCCCCUCCUGGCCUCUCUCAGCAACCUGGCCGAGCAGCUGCAGGCGGCACAGAAUCUGCGAUUUGAGGAUGUGCCUCCACUUCGAGCCUUCCCGGACUUAAAGGAACGGCUGAGGCGCAAGCAGCUGGCGGCUGGCGACACUGUCUUGGACAAGUUAGGGGAGAGGCUAGCCACCCUCCUCAAGGUGCGGGACACCGUCAGCAGGCACGUGGAGCAGGUGUUUGAGAUCUAUGAGCAGCACGCAGACUCGAUCAGCAUUGAUGCUGUCCUGCAGGCUUCGGUGCUGAGCCCGUCUGUGGCUGACAUGUUGGAGUGGUUGCAGGAUAUCGAGAGACAUUAUCGACAUUCAAGUUACCUAAAGAGAAAGUACCUCCUGUCUUCGGUCCAGUGGGGAGACUUGGCAAAUAUCCAAGCUUUGCCCGAGGCCUGGAACCAAAUUUCAGAAGAUGAACACCAAAGCCUUGUACAAGAUACCCUGUUGAAUGUUUCCUUCUUCCUGGAAGAGUAAGGAAGCCACGUGUUGAUCAGCAGACUAGGGGGACACAGUUGAAGACCGACAUUGGUGCUUUCUGUGUGGGCUGGCCUUACAGAUUUGCUUCUUUGAAGAGAAUAUUGCGGAAGUAGUGUGGUGUUACUUCUGAAACUAACUGAUAAAAAAGGACUGCAGCCUCCAGUGUGAGCCCAUCACUUACUGUCGGAUUCCUCACCCUCCAAGAAGUCAGCUGCAGGGCUCCAAGGCAGUCCUGAGGAGUGCUCACGUGAGAGACUGAAGUCAGCCAGCCACCAUGUGACUGAGCUUGGAAGCAGACCCCCAACUGUCCAUGCUCCUGCCCUCUUGAGCCUUCAGUUGAAACCACAGCCCCAGCUAACAGCUCAGCUACAACUUCAUGAGGACCUCAGACAAAGGCAACCAGCUAAGCUGUGUGCAGAUGCCUGACCCAUGGAAACAUAAUAAAUGUUUGUUUUCAGUUAUUAAGUUUUGGGGUGA